GGGAAUGUGGCUUAGUGGUAGAGUGCUUGUCUAGCAUUCAUGAAUCCCUGGGUUCAAGUCCUCAGUACCA
rfam:Dipodomys ordii contig_53008, whole genome shotgun sequence.